CACGUCGUCCAUCCACCACGCCUCCGAGGUGGAUAAGGUCAUCCUAGCUGUUUCUCCCUCCCACACAGCGAAACCCUAGCUCCAUUCUGUCCCCUCGUGCUGCUUCUUCUCCUCCCGCAAGCAACUGAGCCGUCGUCGCCUUAGCGUUCGUCGCCCACGCUCUCCAUCGUACCCACACCCUAGAACCUUGUCCGCCUGCUUCGCCGUCAUCCUCCAUGCCGUCUACGACCACAGAUUGGAGCUGGGCGCCCCUAUAGCACGUGGAUCGAGCCGUCUUUGGCCUCGGUGCCGGGGAGCUCGUCGUUGUCGAUCCACUCCACCCCGGCCCUGUCCGGCUUCCCCGAGCUACUCGUCACCCCGCUACCCUGAGACCGCGGUUGAACCAGUGAUCGACUACUUCGCCGUCGAGAAUUCGUAUCUGUCUGCAAAGCUUCCAGAUGUCGCAACCAGAUGACGGAUUCUAGGAGCCAGACGACAACACUGGCGACUACUACUACAUCGAGGGUGCCUACUACUACGUGACGACCGCUGACGACCUGAAGUAGUUAGGAGGCUCCCAGGCAGGAGGCCUUGCCUUUUCGAUCGUUGUUGCUUUU